UUUCCUCUGGGGUUCAAGGAGUAUAUUUCCUCUGGGGUUCAAGGAGUAUAUUUCUUCUGGGGUUCAAGGAGUAUAUUUCCUCUGGGGUUCAAGGAAUAUAUUUCCUCUGGGGUUCAAGGAGUAUAUUUCCUCUGGGGUUCAAGGAGUAUUUUUCCUCUGGGGUUCAAGGAGUAUUUUUCCUCUGGGGUUCAAGGAGUAUUUGACCAUCCAUUCUCUGUCUAGAAACACAAUGCUAGUUUUUGGCCAGUCGUCUCAGUUCUGUGUAACUCCCAUUUGUCUGAAAACAAUGAUGAAGCAACUAACAAUGUGCUCAAUACUAAAUGGGGAAUUAUACAGGAAGUCCAGGUAAAUGCAAUACUAAAUGGGGAAUUAUACAGGAAGUCCAGGUAAAUGCAACACUAACGGGGAAUUAUACAGGAAGUCCAGGUAAAUGCAAUACUAAAUGGGGAAUUAUACAGGAAGUCCAGGUAAAUGCAACACUAACGGGGAAUUAUACAGGAAGUCCAGGUAAAUGCAAUACUAAAUGGGGAAUUAUACAGGAAGUCCAGGUAAAUGCAAUACUAAAUGGGGAAUUAUACAGGAAGUCCAGGUAAAUGCAAUACUAAAUGGGGAAUUAUACAGGAAGUCCAGGUAAAUGCAAUACUAAAUGGGGAAUUAUACAGGAAGUCCAGGUAAAUGCAAUACUAAAUGGGGAAUUAUACAGGAAGUCCAGGUAAAUGCAAUACUAACGGGGAAUUAUACAGGAAGUCCAGGUAAAUGCAAUACUAAAUGGGGAAUUAUACAGGAAGUCCAGGUAAAUGCAAUACUAAAUGGGGAAUUAUACAGGAAGUCCAGGUAAAUGCAAUACUAAAUGGGGAAUUAUACAGGAAGUCCAGGUAAAUGCAAUACUAAAUGGGGAAUUAUACAGGAAGUCCAGGUAAAUGCAAUACUAAAUGGGGAAUUAUACAGGAAGUCCAGGUAAAUGCAAUACUAAAUGGGGAAUUAUACAGGAAGUCCAGGUAAAUGCAAUACUAAAUGGGGAAUUAUACAGGAAGUCCAGGUACAUGCAAUACUAAAUGGGGAAUUAUACAGGAAGUCCAGGUAAAUGCAAUACUAAAUGGGGAAUUAUACAGGAAGUCCAGGUAAAUGCAAUACUAAAUGGGGAAUUAUACAGGAAGUCCAGGUAAAUGCAAUACUAAAUGGGGAAUUAUACAGGAAGUCCAGGUAAAUGCAAUACUAAAUGGGGAAUUAUACAGGAAGUCCAGGUAAAGUCCGUGUGUAAAACAUAUUUUGAAGAAAUGACCAUAAGUUAUGAAAAUGCCCCAGCAUCAGCCAGCCAGUCAGCCAGCCAGCCAGUCAGUCAGUCAGUAGAGCACCCUUCCAUCUGCAGUAGUCAGCAGUCUAAUGCCCCAGCCAGCCAGCCAGCCAGCCAGCCAGCCAGCCAGCCAGUCAGCCAGCCAAGCACCCUUCCAUCUGCAGUAGUCAGCAGUCUAAUGCCCCAGCCAGCCAGCCAGCCAGCCAGCCAGCCAGCCAGCCAGCCAGCCAGUAGAGCACCCUCAGCACAGUUUCAGAUGUUCUGUCGUGAACCCAUUUCAGAUGUUCUGUCGUGAACCCAUUUCAGAUGUUCUGUUGUGAACCCAUUUCAGAUGUUCUGUUGUGAACCCAUUUCAGAUGUUCUGUCGUGAACCCAUUUCAGAUGUUCUGUCGUGAACCCAUUUCAGAUGUUCUGUCGUGAACCCAUUUCAGAUGUUCUGUCGUGAACCCAUUUCAGAUGUUCUGUUGUGAACCCAUUUCAGAUGUUCUGUUCGUUGCAGAAGACAAUAGUACAUUUAAAAACAUUUAAAAUGACUUGUCAAAAUGUUAGUGUGUUCUUAUUCUUUCUGUGUUAACCUCAAAGUGAUCUGAAUGUACCAGUCGCUUGGUUUAACCAUUCUAUAGCAAUAUAGCUGCAUGGUCAGCGGGCUAGCGGCUCAGUGAGGGAGUCGCUUGGUUUAAUCAUUCUAUAGCAAAUAGCUGCACGGUCAGCGGGCUAGCGGCCCAGUGAGGGAGUCGCUUGGUUUAAGGGAGUCGCUUGGUUUAAUCAUUCUAUAGCAAUAGCUGCACGGUCAGCGGGCUAGCGGCUCAGUGAGGGAGUCGCUUGGUUUAAGGGAGUCGCUUGGUUUAAGGGAGUCGCUUGGUUUAACCAUUCUAUAGCAAUAGCUGCACGGUCAGCGGGCUAGCGGCUCAGUGAGGGAGUCGCUUGGUUUAACCAUUCUAUAGCAAAAUAAAAAAUAUGUAAAAAUGUGUUUUAAAUCAAAAAUGUAAAUGGUUCUUUAACAAUAAAACUGGGAUAAAUAGUUUAUACAGGCUUAUUUCUCUGAUACUAUACAAAUCACAAUGAUUGUGAAUAUAUUAAUGUUAUGAAAAACUGAAUAAAAGUGAAGACCAAUUGUC